AGAGAAGGGGUACUAAGGUGAUCCAAGGAAUGGAGAACUUGCUUUACAAGAGGAGACCUAAGGAGCUUGGCUUGUUUAGCUUAACCAAACGAAGACUGAGGGGAGAUGUGAGUGCGCUCUAUAAAUACAUCAGAGAAAUAAACACCAUGGACGGAGAGGAGU